AUAGGAAAAUGACUAAGAAACUACAGUGAGAUGUCUGUCUGAGAGCUGCUUGAUUUUUGAGCAGUCUUCCUGCAUUAGAAGGAAGAAUUGGACAAGAAGAUGGUAAAUAAAAUUUGAAUCAUCAGAGGAAAUAAUUGAAAUUUUCUUUGGAUAAAGCCUGGUACAUCUUUUUCUUCAUCCACAUGUCUCUGAUCAAAUUAAAAAAUAUACUUGAUAUUAGCAGACCUGAGAUCUAUAAAUUAUGAAGAGAAUUGUGAUUAUAUUGAUGUAUUUUAGGACAGACAGUGGAAAAUUAAGCUGUGUUCUUUCUUCAAACCUUGACUUAGAUAUGGUUUGUGAAGUGACCUGCAUGUCUGUAGAAGCUUAUUUUUCUGCAAAUUUUAGUUUUAGUUCACUUUUAUUUUCUUUUUGUUUAAAACAUACAAACUAUUUCCUCUGCUCAACAAUUUCAAGACAUUAUUUUAGCAGAGGUGGUUUAGCUUAGAUGGUUCAUUUCAGUCCUCACAGGACAAUAGAAUAACCUAAACGUUAAUGUUAUGUUAUACUAUGUAUAUUAUUUAAGGAUCACAACAUAAUAUAACAAAUAGGUCCACAGAGAUCAAGGACGGAAAUUUACAGCUGCGUAAUUUCUCAUAAUGCUUAAUUUAUAAGAUGAAAAGAUAAGGUUAUGAACUAGAAGUUAUACAAAAUUGCAGUACCUGCCAAAUUAAUAAAUUACUUUAGUCAUUUUAAA